rnacentral:rRNA from 1 species
UACCCGCAGCACAAGUGGUGGUCAUUAUUAUUGGGCCUAAAGCGUCCGUAGCUGGCUUGUUAGCUGCCUGGGUAAAUCGAUGCGCUCAACGUAUCGAACUCCGGGUAGACCGGCAAGCUUGGGACCGGGAGAGGCGUGAGCUACUCGAGGGGUAGGGGUAAAAUCCGUUGAUCCAUUGAAGACCACCAGUGGCGAAGGCGGCUUGCCAGAACGCGCUCGACGGUGAGGGAUGAAAGCUGGGGGAGCAAACCGG